rnacentral:lncRNA from 1 species
CUUUUUUUUCCUGAAGCUAUCAUAGCCUUCACAAGUUGGUCUAUCUGGUUCUUCAUCGAGUCAACAUCCCCUCUCAAUGCAAUAUGACUUUGCUCCAACGAAUCCAUGAUCUUUCAAAGGAUGCUUCAAGUCCGAUACGAGUGUUAGGAAAUCAACUGCAGGUUAUGGACAAAGGAUGGAUGAGUUUUUUUUGUAUUUGUGUGGAAAAUUAUAUGAAAUGCAUGAUGAUGAAUGCAUAUGCAAUGGUAUGUGAAUGAAUUCAAUGCCAUGUUCAGGAUCACAGGAAUAAAUAAGUUCACAGGUUGAUCAGAAUAACGGGUAAAUAAAUGGUAUCUCUGAUUAAAGGAACCUCAGAGGUAGGCUUUAUAGUUGGUAGGUUCCUAGAGUCAUGGAUCCUUCUUGAGAAUGUCACUUCUGUGACGAAGACUUGUCGGACAAUAAUAUCCUCAUAUGAUCUCGUCUAGGUGAGGUCUUCGUAUCGUCCCAACAAGAAAGACUCCUUUUGGGCCUCUAGUACACAACUCUUGAAUCCAAGGUUCUAACAAGGUUCUCAGAGUCAUAGAUCAAGGUUGGAAAUUUUUCUGUAAGAUAAUAUUACGUCCAAGGGAUCUCAUCUGAUUGGGACUUUCUUAUUAACCCAAAAAGUCUGAAGUCUCGUAGGUUAAUACUACACAAUUGCCGUGGAUGGAACAAGUUAGAAGGUCCCUAGAGUCACUGAUCUAACUUGAAAACACCAUUGUCGUGACGAAGGCUCGUCGGACAAUGAUAUCUCAAGAGAAUCUACUCUAGGCGGGGUCUUCGUAUCGUCCCAACAAGGAAGGCUCCUCGUAGGCCUCUACUACACAACCACCAUCUUAAUCCUAUGGGUUUUCUCAAACUCAGAUAGAGAGUCUAUCUCAUAAAGUGCCAAUGAUCAGAGAGCCCCCAUUAGCAAAAUAAGAGUCAAACAAUAAAUCACAAAAAUAGCAAUUACAAGGAAACAAUGAUACAUAAUAAAGAUAACAAACAUACAAGGUUAACAUUCAAACAGAAAGAAAAAUAAAUUAGGCUUGACUCUCUCUUGCUUGGAGCAUAUACUCCCCAACAGAGUUUCCAUUUGUCGCAUCUCGAAAAAUACGAUUCCUCGUGAUGGUCAUGGAAAAAUAGUUCAAACAGAGUCGCCACUGAACUUUAUUUACUCCAAGGAAGGAAUAGGAAGAUAUCGAUAAAACCUUUGAAAAGAAAGAAGAUGGCCGUCACAACCAUAUCCGGGUCCAGGAGUCGAUUACACAAGGGAAAGGUAUUAUCACCCCUCACGUACGUUGUAUUCAACGAGAACCUUUUAGUCUAAUUUAUGAUUUGAAUGUUAGCUAAUGUUAUUUAUUUUCUUCGAGAGAUAAAAGAUUGAGAAAAAAAGAGAUGGAUGGAAACCUCAAAAGGGGGGAAAAGGGAGGUUUUUUAUUAGUGUGCUCGCCAAGAUCUCACAAUCUCGUGCCUACGUAUCCUUAUGGUGCAAUAAGGAAAUCAGAGCAUUCGUAGUUCAGGGAACUACAGUUUGUUGGUGUCUUUUAAUGAACAACUGUUUAGAUCGCGUUCUAAAGGCUAAACAUUGGCUUGUCCACUAUCGGUGGAGGCUUAAGCACUAGUUUGUUAUGCGUGUUGGAAGGAAUUGAACAAUGUUCUUUCUGAAAAGAGUUUUGGCCACACGGGGGUGACAAGUUGAAUUUAAUAUGUUGAAUAUUUUUUUUUGAUUAGUUUCAAUCGCACGGGGGCGAGGAAAGAUAGAUUUGAUGUGUUGAGAUAUUUUAUUGGAUGACAAUUACUCAGAUAGUCGAGUAAGACAACUCGUAUCCAAAUAGUCGAGGAGAGGAAUCAAAGUCUCUAGAUCAUCUCCCUUUUCAUCCUUAAUUAUAAAAGGUUUUGAUAAUAGUUAAGGUAUUUGAAUGAAUGACGAAUACUUGAAUGGUCGAGUAAGACAACUUGUAUCCAAGUAUUCAGGAAUGGGAAUAAAAGGCUCUAUACCACCUUCUUUUUCAUCUAAGUUGUUAUGAAAUAGGUAAUUAAAAUUAAUUAUCAAAAUUGUUCGAUUAGAACUUAAUAUAAUCAAAUAAUUAAGUUAAUUAAAAUUACUUAACAAAAUUAUCUAAUUUAAUCAAAACUUUAAUUAAUUUAUUUAAAAGGAAAUAAAUGACAAUAUUGAAUAUAAAAUAAUCGAAUUGAAUCGGCCACCAUGUGCUCAUAAACUGGUUUGUACAUAGCGGCAACAAAGUUGGAGUGUCGUAUGUAAAGAUCGAAACACGGUGAAAAUACGCAAUCAAUGUAUAGAAACUUGGGCGGCAUAACGACAUAAAAUUGCCGAAUCCACGAAUUUAAUUCGAUUAAAAAUGAAAUGAACUUAAACAAUGACAAACUAAUAUUGUUUACCAAUAUUAUACCAUUACGCAUUAUCAUAUCAACCCAAAAUAAUCAAUAAAUUACAUACCAUUAAAAAAAACAAAUUGAAAUAAAACCACAACAAUGAAAUCUCAUAACCAAAAAAUAAAUGUAUCACAUAUCUAGAUCCCAAGUAGCAACUAUAUACUUUUCAAAUCAACAUACAUCCACAAUAAUCCAAUAGUAUCACAUUGAUGCAAGUUUCUAUCCAUAAAAUAUAAAUAAGAAUCUAUCAUGGACUCAAGAGUAUUUUGAAACAAAAUACAUAAACAAAAAAAAUAACGCUCGACAACGUGAAUUCAAGAUACACAUUAUCGAGUUUACGCAAUGUUGAUCGGAGCUUCGAGAUGCCUUGUCGGAGUUAAUUUGCUGGUGGUGAUGAUGAUCAUCUGUAAUGGCUUGCUUUACCGUAUCGGAAAUGAGACAACAAGCUUUUUUCGUGUCACCUCAAUUGUUGGCUGAACUUAGUGAUUCUAGCCACAACUCAAGUUCUUCUUUCACCAAUCAAAGAGAACAUCAUGGUUUUGCAUAAAUCUUCAGAAUUGAACACCUUAUGGUUGGUCUUGAGGGUGGUACGACUUCAAUCGGACACAUUAUUAUCAAUAACAUCAAGCAAAUCAUAAUCGGAACCAAACUGAAAACAAAGUCUACAUGAUCGAAAUGGUAAACACAACACAACAAAUAUUGAAACGAUUAACGACACAAUAUUAAGAUGUUGAACUUAUUCAACUUAGACCACUAAAGCACAAACACAAUUAUCAUAAAACUAAACUCGAAUAGUGACGUUGAAAACAAAGUGAACACUUGAGUGUUUCAGAAUGGAUCAUCAGCAAAAAUGCUUAAUCAGAAUGUUGCAAGUUGGUGGAGGAAGCGAUUGUGAAUUAUUGUUUGCGCCAGUGAAAGAAACUUAGAGGGAGUUUGUAUUGUUUAGAGGUAGUGAUGCAAAGUGUUAGAAGAGAGAGCCGAUUUUGAGGUGGUGAUAGUUUCAAAAGAUGUAAGGAAGUGAGGUGGUUCGCCGUUGGUGACAGGUUGGGAAUGGUAGAUCGGAGAUUGUGUAGAUCCAUUUUUUUAUUGAGCAUGAAAUAAGGUUGUUGGAGGUUGUUUAGAAGGUGAGGUUUAAUGGUGGAGUUUUAAAGGGAAGGGUAAACCGCGGCGAUGCAUUGAGGAAGAUAAGGGUGUGGACGAUGGCAGAAAGGUCACGUGGUGGUGGUUUGUUUGCGACAAAUGAUAUACAAGGAGAAGAUUUUCGUGAUGAUGGCGGGUCUACACAAAACUGAGGGUGUGGGUGGAAGGUGUGUUUAGGUGGAAGGAGAGGAAGGAGGUAUCCGUAUGAAAGUUUAGGGUUUGUUGUUUUGUAAUGGAAGAAGAGUGAAAAAUAAUUGUGGUGGAGAUGUUUUUUUCUUCUGGAAGAAGAGGGUACUAAGCAAAGGUAUAUUCAGCCCAAAAAGUGUGAUACUCCCCCUGAGAGAAACCCUCAAAUUAACUUUAAAAUGAAAGAAAAUCUACGCAAUCAACAUCGAUCGCGUGUCCAUGCCAUGUUCCCCUCUUUUGUCUUAUGCAUUCAGUGAGAGAGAUUGUUAGCUAACAAUGGGGAAGUGGACUUAUUUAACUGAUAAUUAUCACAUGGAAAUGAGAGAGGGAGACUUAGUGGGCGUGAUUGGAUCAUGGUAUUGGUGAGAAAAACUUUUGUUUUGUUUUGGGGUGAGAUGACUGCGUGGCAUGCUUCAAGUGGAAAAAUGAUAGAUAUUUUUGCCAUUUUCUUGAUUUUUGUAUAAUAAAUUAAAUUAACAACACAUAACUUCAAAAUUGAUAAAAAAUAAAUGACGCAAUAAAAAUUUAAAGAAAAAACACAAAUAUUUCUAAAUAAUUGGCUCGAUUAUUUUGACUAAAAAACAUAAAUAAACGAAUAAAAAAUGAAUAAAAAUUGGACGCAAAAACGCUCGAAAAAGUAAAACGACUGCACCACAAUGAUCAACACGAAAUAAAUCUCUCAGAAAAAUACAACGUUUGAUUUAAUUUUGAAAUCAAUUUUGAUCGGUUAAAAGGCUCAUACGGAUCAAAAUGCAAGUGAAAAAGUCAUCGAAAAAAUAAAACGAGCACACCAGAUUAAACUACAUGAAUCAUAGAUCAAUGAUACUGACGUCUGCAAGCUCGAUUUCAAAACUUUUUACCGUUGAUUUUACAAGUAUUUGAGAAAUGAUUUAACAAAUCCAUCUAUAUGUUCAAGAAUUUAUUCUGGCUGACAUUUUAGGCGUUAUUCAUGAUGAAAUGCAUGUUUUGCUAUGUAGAUGAUACAAAUAAAAAAUAAAGUUAAAUAUUUGAAAGUUUUAAAAAUGGCCGAACAAAAUUGGGGUAUGACACUUAGACAUAACGAAUUAGGUGAUAUGUUAAAUAUGUAAUUCUUUGUGCUAAGCAUGUAUGUCUAACUGUAGGAUUCGGCUGAGUCGAAGCAACAUGUAUUCAACAGAGUCGAAGUUGAACGUAAUCGUUAGAGUAGUAGUUGACUAUAAUUUGUAAUAGUUGAAUCUACAUAUAUUCGAUAAUAAAUCAAAUAUAACAAGUAGUAGUCAAAGUUGUGUGUAUUCGAUAGAUAGUCAAAUAUAGUUUGCAUUAAAUCGAAUGCAUAUUGUAAUAAAUUAAAUGUAUUGUUGAAUAAUAAAUAGUGAAUCUAAAUAGAGAGUAAGCUCAAAGACAUUUGAGUACGAUUUCAUUAUUUAUUGUAUUUUGUAAAAUCGUGAAGUUAGCCAAUUUGAGGUUGAAGUCUCAAAUGGAGAAACUCAAAUGACUAAGAUUGAUCAAUAUUCGAACAACCGCUUGGUCCUUGGAAUACUUUUUACAAAAUUUAUUUGCGUAAUUUUGUUUUGUGAGUAUUUAAUUCAAUGGUCGAGUCAUUUUUAAAUUUGACAUAAUAAAAAUACUAAUUAAAGUGAAUUCAAAACUAUUUAAUCACAAAACUCUAUUAAUAUAAGUCUCCUUGAUAAUUGUUUCGUAUUAGUGGAUAUAAUGAUUACAUUUUUUAGGAACUUCCAAAAACAUACCAUUGCUUUCAUUUUAAAAUAACCAUGUUUAAGAUUUUUGCACACAGAUUAAAAAAUAUAAUAAUGUUAUUAUAAAAUAUUGCAUUUUUACUAAAUCAAUCUUAUAAAUAUAUUAAAAAUAAUGUACAUAAUAAUAAUUAAAGAAUAUAAUUGAAAGAAUAAUAAUAAUUUUUAUAUUAAAAAGUGAGAAUGAUUUCAUUUUAAAAUAAAUUUAGUUUAUUAAAACGAUAGUAAUUUUAAAAAAGAGGGAGUACUAGACAUAAACUCGAUUUUUUUAUUGUGUACAACUUUCCAAACCACUUGUUUUGAUGCAAUGUGUCAAGAUCGAACAAUUUUCUUAUUAUUCGAAGACUUGUUAUCAUUGUAUCUAUGUAUAUAAUUCUAAUUGCAUUUUUUAAUUUCAUAUUCUUCGGCCCUUAUUUAUAAAUAAAAAUGACAAUGUUCAUGUUUAUUAAGAAUGAUAGUCAAGUGUAUUUUUUUUUUGAUUUCAUAUAAAAGAGAUAAUAUAAUUACUAAUAACUCUAAAUUAAAUUAUCAUCCACUAAUAAUAUUAGGUAAUUAAUACAUUGAUAGUUUUGAAAUAAAGAUAUUAAAUGUGCAUAAAUUUAUUUACAUUUGUUUAUAUUUAAGACUAAAAAAUUUAGAAGACUUUUUCUUAAAAAUAAGACCGGAUGAAGUAUUUCAUUGCCAUCUAAAAAUCUAGAAAUAUUAUAAACUUAGUUGUUGACAAAGUGACCCAAAACACAAGAAGGGGGGAAUUGUCAUAUUCAAAAUUCGUGACUAGUUUUAAAACUUUUUACCUUUAAAAUGCUAAUAUUACCGGAUAUGAUGAAUGAUGGAGAUGAAGAGAGAUACACAUCAAAAAUAAAAUAAUCAAGGAAAGUGAAGAGAUAAGAGUUAAAGAGAGUGCACCCGAGAUUAAUACUUGUUCAACCGAGUCACUUGGCCUACUCCUGUCUCUAUGAGUUUUCUCUUGAUAGUUCUACUAAAAGCACACUUUAUCUUUUUAGAGGAUUUGCGCAAAAACCUUCAACAACAAAGAAAUAGAGCUUUUACACUAGAAAAUAUCAAGAACCAAUAGACAAAUUUUUUACACGGGCUUAACUCAAUCACCUCCAAAUAGACAUGUAAGACCCCAAUUUUGACCCUAAGAUCGCCUCAUGCUAUCUCAUCAUAUGCAUUAGCAUUUGAAUCACACCUUGGCAUCCUCCUCUCCCCUCAUUCAUUGGGUUUAAAUUGGGAGAGGUCACCAAGCAUAUUUGAUUGUAUCAUACUUUUUUUUUCAUUAUUUACUAACCAAAAUACCAAAAAUAUGUCCAUGUAUAGUUUGUUGCUUUUAUAGGUAGCGUGUGAGUUCACCCAUGCUCCAUCAAGCUCAUAUCUAGGGUUUAAGACCCUCAAUGCAAGGAGACAAAUCAAGAGAUGGUUUACAUUGACUCUACACAUCAUUUAUGGAUCCCCUUGAUCUUCAUUUAUCAUUUUGAUCAAGAAUUCAUCAAAAGUUUGAAGCUUGUUUGUCUUGGAAGCCCUAAUUCAUUUAGGUAUCUUGUGUGACUUCCUCAACAAAUUUCUUCAACAUUUGAUCAAAUAUUUCAAGGUAUACUUCAUAUUACAUCAUCUUACACAUAUAUUAUCCUCCAUGAGUCCCAAAGAUGAAGAUAAUGUUAAGUUAGCAAGUUGGUUCAUGGUGGUUGACCAGAGAAAGUCAACUGGUCAAAACUGGGGUUCCCUAGAUCCUAUCUCCUACAAUUUUUGUCAUAUGAAAAUUAUUCCAAGAUGAAAUUUACUUAUAAUGAAACCCCAAACAACUUUCAUGUUUAAGUAAAGAUCUAUUUUUGCAUGGAAAGUCAUUUUUUAUGGUGAAAGAUUAUAGGUCAUUUUGUCUGAACCCUAGUUAGGAGGUCAACUUCCAAAGACCAUAACUUGCUCAAUUUUUAUGAUAUGAAAUACAUUAAAGUUUGAUGAUCAAAUUAAAGAUGUCCUUUUAAGCUUUUAUUUUUGGAAGAAGUUCAAAUUCAACUUUAAAAUGUAUGUGCCAAGAGGAAACAUUAUAGGUCAUUUUGGGCCAUUACCAUUGAACAAGUGAUUUUCCUCAACUUCUAAAAUGCAUAACUCCAUCAUGCCAAAUUCAAAUGAGGUCAAAUUUGUGAAAAACUUAAAUAUAUUUGAAAUAGCUACAUCUUUGAUGGAUGAACUUUUUCCAUUGGAAGCCCAUAGCAAAAGUUAUUUAAGAUGGAAGAAGUGAACAUUUGACUUGGUACUUAGAAAAUUUUCAAACAUGUUUGAUUUUCCGAACUUCCACCUCAAAAUUCAUAAUGAUAAAAGCUUCAAAUGGAAAAGUGUUCAACAUGAAAGUUGUUCCCCUUGAUAUCAACUUUCCAAAAAGUCCAAGGUCACCUCAUUUGGCUAAAUAAUGAAGGACUUGCACAUGGGUUCUUUUCAAGGGACCAAUUGGAUGUUUUUCACCUUCACAUUUCAAACUCAAAUGCAUGGCCACAUGACAUGAUUUCAGCAUGAUUCUCAAGAAUUUUUGGACCUGAAUACAUCACUUGAUGGGCCUAUGACAUGCCCAUGCAAGCAUGCAAUGAAAAUUGCUAAAUUUGGAAAAAUUAGGAAGUGUGUGGAAAUGAAUCACAUUGUCUAUAAAUACAACCCCUCAUGCUCAGAAUUGAAGACCUCAUGCCCAAGCUUUGAACCUGAAAUCCAAACCCUCACCAUUAAAGCAUAAUCUUGAAGGUUUUCAUUUGAAUAUCGAGCUUCAAAUCUCAUUCUGUUUUGAGAUUGAAACUCCAAGAGUCCAAGCCAUUUUCUGAUCUUAAUCACUUCCUACAAGCUUCUGAAACAAAGCCAAGCACAAUUGGGAUCAAGAUCAAGCAAGUUUGAAGCUCCCUCAAAGGUAAUUUUUCAGAAUUUUCAUCUCUUCGAUUCUCCCUCAAUUCUUCACGAUUCUUUGUGAUUUUUCGAUGGCUGAAGUCCUACCAAUGUAGGCAAGAAUAUUGAGUUGCUUUGAGGUCAAAUCGAAGCAACUCAAUUCAUGAUCCUCAAAAUUCAAAUCCAUGUAUCUUUUUAUAUACUUGGAAUUGGAGAAAAUUGAGGCCAGAUUCGAGCUCCUGAGCAUUUUCUCUUCAAAACAGUGUCCUUGCUUUUCAUUUUUCAUGAAGUUGUGGUUGGACCAGUCCGGUUGUCAUCAUCGGAGAAGAUGACCAGAGCUAGGGCUCCGUUGGUGAGUUGGCUUCAUCUCAUCCAUCUGAUCUUGGUCCAAGGAUCUAAUCUUAGCCUUUGGUUUGAAUUACCACUUGUACAUGCGCGUUGACCGUGGACUAUGGUGGAUGAUACACGCUUGGCCAUCAGAUCUGCCACCUCAAUUAAUGAGGGAGAUUUGAUGGCCCUCGUUUUUUCCAAUUUCGUUUUAAUUUCUGAGUUUAUGUUUAAUUGCUUUAUUUUGUUUAAUUCAUAACAUUUUCAUUUUUAAUCCAAAAAAUAUGAGACUUUCACCAAAAAUCUUUAAAUAUUUUCCUCUUUCAUUUUGUGAAUUAAAAUUAUUUUUUGGAUUAAUGUUGAUAUUUUUCAUGAAUUAAAUGUUUUUGUGCAUAUUUUUAAUUGUUUAAAAAUACUUUUGACUUUUCAAAAAUGAUGAAAUUUUUUGUCUAAGGUCCUUUGACCUUGUUUGAAGAGAUUUUAGGUUUUGGCCAAAUUAAAUUGGAUUUUCAUGCAUUUUUAAUUGAUUAAUUAUGUAAAAAUUAUGUUGAGCCAUUUUUAUGGUCUUGUGAUGUUUGACUAUUUGUUUGGGCCUUGGUCAAGGUUGAUUUGAAUUUUAUUGGAUCAAAAUCAUUGGAUUUGGGGGAUUGAUGAAAUAUACAUUUCAUCUCCCCAAAUGAAUGAAUGAUUUUAAUUUGAUAAAAUUCCUCCCAUGACCAAUUUGUGUUUCUCUCACUCCCCCCCNCCCCCCCCCUUUCAUCUUCAUCCCUAUUCUUUCCCAUUCCUUUCAUUGACCAAUGAAAUCUCAAAUAUCCUAAAGCUAAUUGGUUCAUCAAUGACUUUGUGUCAGAUGAACCAAUACAAGUAUGGAUGAGAUAGGUCUAUCCCUCUUGAUCUUUUCUUUUAGUGUGUGGUAUGUUUUAGGAGUUUGGUUCAUUAUACCAAAUCUCUAACAUGCAUUAACACCUAAUUUUUUAUUGCACAACCUCAGAUUGUUGUGACUUCUAAAUAAGUCCAAUUACGUUUGCUUAACAUAAAACUAAAUUUGACCCUAAAGGCAUAACAUUCUAGUAAGUGAGAUUGUCAAUAUCCCAUCUUUCAUGGUAUUAUGUGAAAACUUGGCCUUUUCUCCUUCCUAUGGAAGAUGACAUGGUUCAAGGAUUCAUGCUUGUGAAUAGAUGGUUAAGUGUUCUCCAAAGAAUGACUUAAUCAAUUAAAAAGCAAAAUACUACUAACAUUCAAUUAACUUUGACUAAUAUUUGACUAACUCUUAUUAAUAUUACUUUACUUUCAAGUCAUUUACUUUAUGCAAUUUAAUUUCUAGUCAUUUAUCAUUCAUUGCCAUUUAUAUUUCAUUUAACUUGUUUAUAUUUAUGCCAUUUUCACUUUGCUCAUUUGAGCCAUAGAUUGUGAUUUUAUAUAUUUUAUUUGUGUAUUUUGAUUGUGUUUGUGGUCUUAGGACCUUAAAAUACUUAAUAAACAACAAAAACCCUAAAAAAUGUUUGGUGGACUGUUGAUCUUGAUCUGAACUUUUGGACUUAGAACUAGGCAACAUUCCCUAUGUAAAAAAGACUUGGCCAAUGCCAACAUUCUUAGAUCAAGUUAUUAUGAACUGAGCCUUCAUCUGAUGCAAGUCUUAUGAUCCAUAUGAACUCAUCUGCUACAUUGUCUUGAUACAAAUUUUUAUUUUGAUCUGGUGUCUAAUGCUUUAUUCUGAGUUAAUCAAGGAGUAUUUCAUCUGAUACAUGAGAAGACAAAGAAGAUUGCUAGCUAUGGGAUUUACUUGCUUGGAUGUGGCUAUCUUUAUUUGAUGCCUUGAUCUUUCAUGAUGCCUGAUAUUACGAAUGGCUUGAUGAUUAUUGCUUGAUUCAAAGUCCAAAGGGAAAGUGGGUUUUCUAUAUGACAUACUUGUCUGUUGGAUUACAUCCCAUUGGUCAGAUCUUUUCAACUCUUAACUUUUAAAUAUAUGCUUAGGAUUAGUCUCUUCAUCUCCUCCCACUUCUUAAAUUACAAAGUCUCUCCCUCUUUUCAAAAACUUUCUUUGCUUGUGAUUUCAAACUUAAACCUUAUUUCAAAUAGAAACUUUGGCCUUAUGUCGUUGAAUUUUUGAACUUCUUUUUCUUAAAUCAAACUUGUAAAUAAAUCUAAUCAUAUUGACUAAAAAAUUUCAAAAGAUAAAAAGAACUAACAACCCCAUUCAAACCUUUGGCCCCUUUGUGCCCUUCUCAAUUAAAUUUUUGUUAAAAGCAAUUCACCAACUUUGAAAUUUUUACCACGAACUACGAGGUUUUGAUCCCUCAUUUUUAUGUUGGUACGUAGGCAUAAGUCCGAAGGUCUUGUCAAACACAAAAAUAUAAUCAAUGAAUUCUUUUCUCAUCCCUACACUCUAUUUUUUUCAAACAUCAUUUUAUACAAAAAAUACAUACACACAUAAAAAAGGGCUCCCUAGGAGUACCUAAGACACUUUGGGUGCUAACAUCUUUCCUCUGUGUAACCGACCCCCUUACCUGUAAUCUCUGACGUUUUAUUAGUUUUGAUUUGAAAACUUCUUAUAUUUGGGUUUUGUUCGUACUUUUCCCUUUUUCCUUUAGAAACAAUAAAAGUGAGGUGGCGACUCUAUUUUUUUUGAUGUUAACCUUAUCCAUAGCUUGAUGGUCAUGGAUUUACCGCUACCAAAAUUAAGUGGCGACUCUGCUGGGGAGUAGUCCUCAAUGGGUUUAACCUACUCUUUUAUGUGUAUAUAUUUGUAUAUUUGAUGUUUGUAUACUUGUUUGUAUGAUAUAAUAUGUCUGUUGUGCUUGGUGAUCUCUAAGUGGUGACGUAAGUUCUAACUCGAACUUUAGUGCAAUUAAGAUAGGAGGAUGGUAUAAUCAUGUUCAACUUGUGUGGAGUAGUCCUUAACAAGUUAGCUUGAGACCCAUCUACUCAGUGGAGAACCUUUUGGAGUUAAUAAUGUCACACAAGUUAUUUGUGGUUAGGCAUUACUUUCUCUGAUUCGGGGUCCGAGAAGUUGAGGACCGUAGAACAUUUAACCCAACUUGGCAUAUUUAGGACGUAGUGCGGAGACUAUUCAGGUGUAGACCUGAUAACAAUUGUUACGCGAUACUACACUCAGACGAGUUUCUCUUGAGAAUAUUAUGGGUUGAUGAGUCAGUCAUCAUAACCUAUAAUAUCCAAAAGAUGGGAUUAAGAUUCUGGGAACUUUUUAGAACAUGAUCUACAGGUUUUUAUCCUUAGUACACUGCUUUUGGAUGGUUCUUAACCCGACUCCAUGCUUGUAACUCACAACAAACCCUUUGAUUCUCGGUUGAUCUGAUAAAGUCUCAUCAAUAUCAAUGGAACUUGGGUGUUGAUAAGGUGAAAACCAUAAUCCACCAAAAUUGAUGAUUGAUCUUGAUGGUGACUUGAUCCAUCCCUUGACCUUUGUUUGUGGUUGCCUUAUGUAUGAUCCCUUGUUUGUGAUUGUUGCAUUCAUGCAUACUUGCGCAUCAUAACAUUCAUCAUAAAAAAAUAAAUUUCAAGGAACUAAGGUCUUAUUUGCAAAUAUUUUCAGACCAUGGAUUAUGGCAAAGGAACAUUAAGAAGUACAGUUUCAGAUGUCCUGAUUUCAAAGAGCUAAGGAAGUUGUCAUCUUUUGUAUUAGAUCCCUUGGACUUCACGCAACGUCAUGGAAAGCUUUUGUCUGUGUUAUCUGUUGACGUGGUUGAAGGACUCUUGAGUGUCCUGGUUCAGUUCUAUGACCCUCUCUACCGAUGCUUCACUUUUCCUGAUUAUCAGCUUGUGCCUACGUUAGAGGAGUAUGCCCAUCUCUUGGGAAUACCCGUUUCUGAAAAGAUACCUUUUAGUGGAUUGAAGGAGAUUCCCAGAUCUCAUAUCAUAGCCGAAGCUCUUCAUCUGAAGAAAUCUGAGAUUGAGGCUCAUUGGGUAAAGAAAGGAGGAAUUAUGGGGUUGACUUCUGAGUUCCUUAUUGGAAAAGCUAUUGUCUUUGCUCAAGCCGGUAGUAUGGAUGCUUUUGAAGCCAUCUUUAUAUUGCUCAUAUAUGGUUUAGCUUUAUUCCCUAACAUUUACGGUUUUGUUGAUGUUAACGCCAUUAGAAUCUUCUUGAUUGGGAAUCAUGUGCCUACUCUGUUGGGUGAUAUGUAUUUCUAUUUUCAUUGGAGGAAUUCUAAAGAUGGUGGGACUAUUGUGUGUCGUGUUCCUCUUCUGUACAAGUGGUUUAUUUCUCACUUGCAUCAGACGCCUGCUUUUCUGGAGAAUAAGCAAUGUCUACGGUGGUCUCAAAAACUUAUGUCUCUCACUAAUGAUGAUAUUGUUUGGUAUGACUCUGUAUUGGGUAGCUUGGACAUUAUUGAUAUUUAUGGUGAAUUUUCUAAUGUGCCUCUCAUUGGUACACAAAGAGGAAUCAACUACAACCCUGCUUUGGCUCGUCGUCAACUUGGGUUCCCCUUGAGAGACAAACCUAAUAACACUCAGUUAGAAGGUCUUUUCUAUCAAGAGGGUAAAUAUCCCUAACAUUUGAAGCAGAAGAUGAUACAUGCUUGGCAUAAUAUGCAUAGGAAAGGAAGAUCCGAGCUUCGUCCACACAACUGUGUGGCUUUGGAAGCUUACACUACUUGGGUGAAAAAGAGAGCUUUGGAGCUAAAGAUUCCAUAUGCUUGUGAAUGACUUAUGUCUCUGGUUGUAGUUGAGCCAUCAACUCUCCCUAACCAAGAUGUAGAAGAGUUGGAAGACGCACUCGCCAAGAUGAAACAAGAGAGAGAUAUGUGGGAAUAGUGGUUCCAUGCUUUAAGCCGAAAGCAUGAGGAGUUGCAGCUUGAGUCGAAAGAAAAGGAUGCACUUCUUGAACUUCUUGAAGACCGAGCAGUGAAGAGAUAGAGAGGGUCCACCUUCCUCUAAUAUGUCUCAGCCUUCCGGUGUUUGGAAGAAAAUUGUUGAUCAACUUGUCCUUGAGAAAGCUCAGAUGAAGAAAUCCUUUGAGUCUCAGAUUCAACGCAUCCGAAGGAAGUAUGCACCCAUAACCAGAUCGUCUGAUACCAUUGCUAAGGGGUCCUUAGGAUGAUUAGUUUCCUUUUCUCUUGUAUUUGUAUUUUGUUUUCUGAAAUUGUACUUAGUGUAAUCCUUCCAAAUUUUAUGAAUAAAAAGAGAUUUUAAGGUCAAUCAAAUUGUUACUAUUGUUAUUAUUUUAUAUUUGCAAAUACAACUUUGUAUGUUCCUUGAAAUUAAAUAAAUAAAAACAUUGCAUUUCAUGCAUCCUUUGCAUAGCAGGUUUGCUUCCGCCAGAUGUCUUAUUGGUUAUUCUUUUGUGCUUCAGUCAAGCUGACUCACCAAUACAACACUCGCACUAAUAAACCGAAGAUCAUAGAACACUUAGAGCAAGAGAAUAGAGAGCUGAAGGAUGAAAUUAUACGGUUAACUGCUAUGAUGGAGUCUGUUCUUACUACACAGAAUCAGUCUUCACCAACUCCUGUAACUCCUCCCCAGAGAACUGUUAUUUCUGAGGUUGUUACCUCGACUGUUCCUAUUGCUGCCAGCCAAUCCGGUCCUUCCGUGCCUGCUGGUUUCCCUUGGGGAAUGCCACUAAAUUUUAUGCCGGAAGGGUAUGCACCCACAUUUAUUUCUCUGUCGGCAUAUAGCCUAGUCAUGACAAUGCCACCUCCAGUCGUUCAUACUUUGCCUCGUGUUGAGGAUACCAUCUACCAUUCUGAGCCUUUUGAAGGCGCAAAUGUAUAUGAGAAAAUGGACGAGAUGAAGGAUCAGUUCCUCAAGCUGCGCAAAGAGUUGAAGACUCUAAGAGGAAAGGAUUUGUUUGGGAAGAGUGUUGUUGAGCUCUGCCUAGUGCCUAAUGUGACAAUCUCGAUGAAGUUCAAGGUCCCUGACUUUGAAAAGUAUAAGGGAAAUACUUAUCCACUAAGCCACCUUGUGAUGUAUGCCAGAAAAAUGUCAACUCAAACUGAUAAUGAUCAAUUACUGAUUCACUACUUCCAAGACAGUUUGACUGGUGCCGCUUUGAGAUGGUAUAUGGGGUUAGACAGUACAAACGUCCGUACUUUCAAUGAUUUGGGUGAAGCCUUUGUCAAGCAGUACAAAUACAACGUUGAUAUGGCGCCUGAUAGAGACCAGCUGAGGUCUAUGUCUUAAAAGGAUAAGGAGACAUUCAAAGAGUAUGCUCAAAGGUGGAGGGAGCUUGCUGCCCAGAUUAGUCCAUCAUUGGAAGAAAAGGAGAUGACGAAGAUUUUCUUGAAGACACUGAGUUUGUUUUAUUACGAACGUAUGAUUGCCAGUUCCCCUAAUGACUUUACUGAAAUAGUAAACAUGGGGAUGAGGUUAGAAGAAGGAGUCCGUGAAGGACGUCUGUCUAAAUAAGAAGCAUCGUCUAGCAAAAAAUAUGGGGGUAGUUUCUCCAAGAGGAAGGAAGGGGAAACUAAUUCAGUAAUUAUGGGGGCAGAGGAGGCCUCAUGUCAGAAAGAGUUCUCAACCUCGUCAACAUCAACAUCAAGUUUCAUUAGUAAUUCCUGUGUUUUCCAACAAUUCCAAUAAUCAAUUUGUUCCGAUUCAACAACAACAACAUCAACAACAACGUCAACAACAACCGCAAUAAAGAAUCAACUACAACAACAACAAUAAUAAUCAGCAAGGCAUUGAGAGGAAGAAGGCCUCUUUUGACCUUAUUCCUAUGUCGUAUGCAGAACUAUAUCCAUCGUUGGUUCUCAAGAACCUCAUCCAACCCAGAAAUCCUCCACAAAUUCCUGAGCCACUUCCAUGGUGGUUCAGACCUAAACUUCGCUGUGCCUUUCACCAGGGAGCCCCUGGCCAUGACAUAGAGAAUUGCUAUCCGUUGAAGUAUGAAGUGCAAAAACUUGUGAAAAGUGGGAUGGUGUCCUUUGAAGACCGAGGACCUAAUGUGAAAGCUAAUCCAUUGCCUGCUCAUGGUAAUGCUACUAUUAACAUGGUGGACGGUUGUCCGGGGAAUUUAUGAGUAUUCGAUGUACGGUAUAUCCGUAGGUCGUGGGUGGAAAUGCAUAGAACCUUGUGUUUGAUCAGUGACUAUGAGCACGACCAUGAUGGUUGUGCAAUCUGUAGUGUGAACCCCCGUGGGUGUAUGAUUGUCAAGAGAGAUAUCCAGAAGUUGAUGGAUGAGAAUAUAAUCCAGAUUCAAUAGUCAAGGGAUAUAGAUGAUGUAAAUAUGAUCGUGCUAGUGUUCAAGACCCCUGAGCGGGUAGUCAUUCAAUUUGAUAGCAACAAUAACAACAAUGUUAAUAGAUCAUUAUCGUCAUUGGUAAUACGGUUAGUGGGCCCUGUUCCGUAUGCAUCCGAUAAAGUUGUGCCUUAUCAAUAUAACGCCACAAUGGUGGAGAAUGGUCAAGAGAUUCCUUUACCAAUUGCAGACUCCAUGGUGAGUAUACCUGAUAUUAUGAAGGUGACCCGUAGUGGUCGUGUGUUCGGUCCGGUUUUCCCGAAGGAGGCAGAAUAUGUUUCAAUCAGUAAGAUGGCAGAGAUUCCAGUGGUGAAUCCAGUUAGUGCUCAAGUAUGUCAGUCUGGUGAAUCCAGCAAAUUGAAGGCUAAUGAUGAUGACGAAGUGUUGAAAUUAAUAAAGACAAGUGAGUUUCAUAUGGUGGAGCAGCUGCUCCAAACCCCGUCAAAAAUCUUCGUGCUAUCCUUAUUGAUGAAUUCUAAAGCACAUAGGGAGGCGUUGCAGAAAGUGCUCGAGCAAGCCUACGUGGAGCAUGAUGUUAUUGUGGAUCAGUUUGACCACAUUGUUGCCAAUAUUACUUCUUGCAAUAAUUUGAGUUUUUAUGAUGAAGAGCUUCCCGAGGAAGGUAGAAAUCACAAUCUGACACUCCAUAUUUCAAUGAACUGCAAGGAGGACGCUAUGUCCAAUGUGUUGGUUGACAUUGGGUCAUCUCUGAACGUGCUUCCAAAGUCAACUUUGUCCAGACUUUCUUACCAAGAUGCCCCGAUGAGGUACAAUAGCGUGAUUGUUAAAACGUUUGAUGGUUCCCAUAAAACCGUCAUUGGUGAAGUGGACCUUCCAGUUAAGAUAAGUCCGAGUGAUUUCCAAAUUAUUUUUCAAGUGAUGGAUAUCCACCUGACCUAUAGCUGCUUGUUGGUAAGGCCAUAGAUUCGUGAAGCUGGAGCAGUGACAUCUACUCUACAUCAGAAGCUUAAAUUUGUGAAGAACGACAAGCUUGUCGUUGUUGGUGGAGAAAAGGCGCUAUUAGUGAGCCAUCUGUCAUCUUUUUCAUAUAUUGAAGCUGAGGAGGAGGUUGGAACACCAUUCCAAGCCUUGUCCAUUGUUGAUGAAGUAAAGAAAAUUGGGGCAUCCAUGUCUUCUUUAAAGGAUGCUCAGAAGGCUAUUGAGGCUGGCAACGUUGAUCAGUGGGGCCGUUUGGUAGAGAUUGCUUAGAACAAGAAUAGAGACGGAUUGAGAUUUCAACCGGGGUCGUUCAACGUCAAAGUUGAAGAUGUGCAACCGAGUUUCCGCAGUGGAGGGUUUAUUCAUGGGAAUAAUCAACACUCAGCUGAUGUGAUUGAGGACAAUAAUGAUGAAGUCGAGGCUUGCGCAAACUUUGUGAUGCAUGGCCAGAUUUGCAACAAUUGGGUUGCCGUUGAUGUUCCUACUGUUAUUCAUCGCUCUAAGUAAUUUGUUUUCAUUUUUAAAGAAAAAUCCUUCUCCUAUGCCUAAGGGAGAAGUGAACAUUGUUGGGAAUUUUCUUAUUAUCAUCAAUAAAAUACAAUUUUAUUCAUCCACAUCUAUGAUGUUUUAUUUUUACUUUUUUCUUUUCUGAAAAGGGUAAUCACAAAAAACAUAAAUUAAUAAUAAUCUUCCAUCUGCAUAAUAUUUGGUCGCAAUCUAUUUCUCUAAAAUCAAAAUAUCAAAUCAUUAUGUAGGUUGGUUCUCAAACCCAUUGAAUACAAUAAUCCUACUCCCUCUCCAAACUUUGAUUUCCCUGUUGUCGCAUUACGCGAAAAACCGUCGGGAAAAGACACAGAGCCGCCACCGUGCGUUAUUUAUCCCAAAGGAGGGAAAGGAAACGCUCGAAGUAAACCUGGAAAGGAAAUGGUCUCACGACCAGAGAUUGAUAGGAUCGGGAGUCGGUUAUGCGAAUAAGACACAGAGCCGCCACCGUGCGUUAUUUAUCCCAAAGGAGGGAAAGGAAACGCUCGAAGUAAACCUGGAAAGGAAAUGGUCUCACGACCAGAGAUUGAUAGGAUCGGGAGUCGGUUAUGCGAAGGGAAGAUAUUAGCACCCCUACGCAUCCGUCGUACUCGACAGGAUCCACGCUCAAGAGAAUAGAAUAAGGUUGCUGAAUAAACUGCUCAAAACACUGCACAAGCUAGAAUGAAACACAGACGAAAGAAGACGGAAGAAGAUGACUCGGCAGGGUGUCGCAUCCUGGGCCUACGUAGUUUGUCAGAAACAAACAUCAGAGUCGACGUAGUUCGGGGAAAUGGGAAACGUCCUCGCUAGGAUAUCGCAUCCUAUGCAUACGUAUCUUCUCUAACCAGAGUAAGAAUCAGAGCACUCGUAGCUCGGCUAACGCACGCCGAAACAAAACGCUAAAAGAAGACGCUGAGACGUCAGAGCAAACACACAAUCGGAAACGGAAUGCCAAUUGCUGGUCUUACAUCCAACUCCACAAAAGAACACAGGAAACCGAAUGCCAAUCGCUGGACUUACGUCAGACUCCAAACAAAGAAACGCAAACAGGAAACCGACUGCCAAUUGCUGGACUUACAUCAGACUCCAAACAAACAAACACACACGGGAAACCGACUGCCAAUCGCUGGACUUACGUCAGACUCCAAGCACACAAACACAAGAAGAAGGGUCUCGAUUGCAACUAGGGCAAGAGAAAGGGAAGGUCUCAAUCGCAACGGGGGCGAGAGAAAAGGAACAAAGUUAGUUGUUAGUCAAACUCGACAAGACAUCGCAUCUCGUGCCUACGUAUCUCAUCUGGACAUGAGAAUCAGAGUUGUCGUAGUUCGGCUAACGCACGCCGAAACAAAACACGCGCAACAAAACAAAAAGGGCGCCUGGAGAGAUCAACUCAUCUCCUGCCUACGUACCUCAUCUGGUAUGAGGAUCAGGGCGACGUAGUUCCCCUUAACAGGGAAAACUUCUAUCCUAACCAGAGACUAGGGAGAUAACAGACUACUAGGGAGACUACGACUCGAGCCUAGAAGUUGUCAUGCAAACGAUCCCUAUGUUGAGGUCUUAGUUCCCCUUAACAGGGAAAACUUCUAUCCUAACCAGAGACUAGGGAGAUAACAGACUACUAGGGAGACUACGACUCGAGCCUAGAAGUUGUCAUGCAAACGAUCCCUAUGUUGAGGUCUCUAAUCAGAUCCUAACUUUCACAUGAAGCAAGCUAGCCUAAACAGUAAAUAAGCAAGCACAAGCACAGGUGAACAGGUAUCACACGCUAUAUGCAAACAAGUGGCUCAUACAAGGCUGGGCUUUAGUCAAGGGGUCAUAUCAACCUCGACAAACAAGUCAACUGGAAAGGGUGUCUGAGGCUCUUAACCACUGACAUUGAUCGUCAGGGUGAGCCGAUGAAAAGGUAAUGAGGAUAAGACCUCAUAGCUCUUAACCCUAGCCAGGGUGAGCUCAAGACAAUGAAAGUGUGGGAGUCCAGAAUGUGGGACCCUACUCCACUUGACUGACUCUAUAUACAAGGAUCUUGGGUGUUUAUUCAAAAUGCAUCAGCACGUAGUGCGAGCAAGAUGAAUGACUCAACUGAAUAGCAGGGGAUGGAUUGCACAUCCCUUCUAUCCAAUUGCCUGCUUCACUAGGAGGGCUUGAAAGCAAGGCAGAAAGAUAAACAAGCACAAACAUUGCCUCUUAAGGAGGGCUUCAGACAGGUGCCUGCCAAAGAUAGCAGGUCUUCCAGACUACAUGAAGUCAGAGGUCAUUACCUGGGUGGUAUGCCAACCACAAGCAAAGCAAAGUUCAUAUAAUGAACUUAAAGCAGCUAAUGUACCUGGGUAAACAACCAAACAAUGAGUAUAGUAUUCAGACAAAACAAUCAGAAAGUCCAACAGUGAGACAACCAAUCAUCAGACAACAUCAAUGCAAGGCAUAAGAUGCAAGCAAACUAAAUUGAUUCAUCAUCCACAAGACCUACAAAACAACAAGGUUAGUCAACCAAAAUAACUUGUAUCUCAAGUGAUGAGAUCAAUCAACCAAUGUGGCUAAUUGCUUGAAACCUGAAAUACAAAGUCCAAAACAGUGAGUACAAACCACUAGCACCAAGGCUAGGGUCAAAGGUGAGGUAAAAAGUCAAAACAGAAGCUAAAACUCAACAUGAAUCACAUUUAAUCAAGUAAGAACAAGUCCUAAAAAGGACCAAAUCAAAAUCAUCAAGCCAAGUCAUGUGGUGAACAAAAUAUGGCAAAGACACACAACAUGAUCAUCAAUUAGACAUACAAGUGAGAAAAUGCACAUUAAAUCAGAAACACAUCUAGUGAUCAUGAAAUUUUAUACACAAGCUCAACAUAUUGAACACAAACAUGGUGCAAAAAAUUAGAACCAGAAGAGCUCAUUUGGCAAGGCAAUAAAAAUGAAUAAGAUCAAUCAUCAAAUUGUGUGACACACAUUGUCACACCUAAAGUCCAUGUGUCUAAAACAGGGAAGGAAAUUGCAAAAAAUGCCAAAUAAAAUCUCACAAAUCAUGCAUCAUAUUGUGAAUCAUCAUGUAAAAUUUCAGGGCAAUUGGUCAAAUAUUGAUCAUUUCACAUCAAUUUGAAUGAGGCAUAGUACAAAUGCAUACAUGUUCAAAGAAUUCAGCACCAUUUAAUUUCCAGAAAUGAUAAAAUCCUAAAAUCCACACCAUAAAAUUCUAGACAUUCACAUGAACAAGUAGAAAAAAGUUGGGAAUUAAUUGGAUCAUUUUUCAAUUAGUUAUGAAUUUUUGAAUUUGGAAGAAAAUAAAUGAAAUAAUGUUGAAUUAAAUGGAAAUGGUUUUAAAAAUGAAAAAAGGUAGAAUGCUGCAGGUGGGAAUCGAUCCCUGUAGGCGUCAAAACGCCAGCGUUUUGUUCAAAUAAGGGAAAUCAGAAAAAAGAAAAAAAAGAAAAGCUUCGCUGGGAACCGAAGCCUGGUCCAUGGGCAAAACGACAUCGCCCUCAUUAAAUGAGCUGGCGGACAUCUAGGCAAUUCAAGGUUGCAUGGAAGUGGUCAAACGAGUCCUGGCCAACCAAAAUGACAACGAGCGCAUGCGUGGCAGGUGAUGAAGCAAACCCUAGCAUUAAAAACCAGAGGCGCUGGCACUGUUCCCACGCGGUGGUCCAAGGCGGAAACCACCGUCUCCUUCGUUGAGACGGUGGGUGAACAGUAUGCAUCAUGAAUUUUUUUUCCAGUUUUUCGAAAUCUAUAUAUCAUUGGAACGGUCAUGGCAUGAGGAUUACAGAUCAAGCAUUAAUUCAGUCCAAAUCAUCACCAAUUAUGCAAAUCGAAGAAAAGUAUAUCAUACAUUCAAAAAUUCAAUCACAUAUAUCUCAGCCAAUAGUUCAUCAUUUUCAAUUCUAAAAGCAUCAGCAGAAUCAGCAUUCCAAGAUCUACACUAACAUGUCAAUGGAUUAAAGGAUUAUGAGAUUCGAAAAAUUAACCUCUUGAAGAGCAGCUUCUGGAAACGCACGAUUCAAAGCUUCCAAUGAUCCAAAUCAACUCCUGAGAUGCUAAAUUGAAGCUUUGUGCAAUAAUGGAGGCUUGGCACGUCCUAGAUCCAGCUCAAUUCUGAACUUCCAUACUUGUGUUCUUGCUUGGAGUAUGCAUGAAUUUGAGGUAAAAUCCACCAAACACACGUUGAAUCUUGCUCAACAACCAUCCAUGUUCAUGAUUAUGCAAGAAAAUUCCAGGUUUAUGUGUAAAAUUUUGGAAAAUCAAUGAAGAGAAAAUUGAGAGUGAAGAUGGAUUUCUAGAUCUGAAAAGUUGUGUAAUGAGCAAUACAGUUACCAUUAAGCCUUUAUACCAUCUAUUAAUUAAUCUGAAAACAUGAUUAGGCCAAGGCUAAUGGAGAUUAGGAAGAAAAGAGAUGUAUGCACAAAUUGACAAUUUCACCUCAUGCAUGGAAAUCCUACGUGAACAGUAACAAAAGAGGGCCCAAAUUCACUCAAAAUCAGCCCAUGCACACAUUGGAAAUGGAAUUAUAUUCAUGUGAUCAACCAAUUUUGAUUUUGGCAAUUUCCCUUCAAAAAUAGCAUGCAUGAGCAAAUGGUUGUGUGAAUGAAUUUCAUGCCGUGUAAUGAAUGAUUUGGAAAAUAUAUUUCAUGGGGAGCACAAUGCAAAAAGAGGUACCCAAAUUGGAGUCUUGGUUCAAAAGAUAUGGCAUUUUGAAGUUUCGAGCACACUUGGCAAUGAUUUGAUCAUAACUCCUUAACCAUUCAUCAUAAAUUCAUGAUCUUGGACUUUUUGGAAAUGGGAGAGAAAGAUAUUCAACUUUCAUGUUGGACAAAAUUUCUUUUGAAGCUUCUUUGAUGUUGGAAAGUUGAGUUGAAGUUGGUCCAAAAACUUGCCAUUUUUGGAAAUUUGAAAUUACAGGUCAUUUUCCAUUUUUGGAAACUUUUGAUCUGGCUUCAAAUCCUUCAAGAUAAGUGUUUGACAUGAUGAAUAAACCUAUUUUGGACAUGAAUGAAGUGUCUCAAACCAUUUCUCCACCUUCUAGCCCUUAUUUGACUUGUAGUUGACUUUUAUGGGCCCCAGAUGACUUGGACAUGUACUGAUGACCUUGAGCCUCUAACACUUGGUCAAGUUACUUCAAAAUGAACCUUGGCUCAUGUAAGCUCUUUAGAAUACUCAUGUGGCCUUCAACUCAAGGAAAGACCUUGCUCUCUUUGCAUUGAGGAAUCCUCUUGAUGCCAGCCUUGACUGAUAAGAUGCAAUGUACUAUGCCAUGUUAAUGUAAUGUUAAUGACCUAAAAAUGAAAUGAGUGAAUGAAUGGGGGUGCAAAUUUGAGGUGCUACACCUGUGUUCGAGGCUGAGGAAGAAACUGAUGAUGAAGAAGUAUCUGAUGAAUUAUCUCAUUUACUUGAGCAUGAGGAAAAAGUCAUUCAGCCGUUCGAAGAGCAGAUUAAACUAGUCAACUUGGGCUCCGAAGAUGAUGUGAAGGAUGUAAAGAUUGGGUCUCAACUGUGUCCAGAAGCUAAGAAGGGGUCGAUUGAUCUUCUUCGAGAAUAUUCUGAUGUGUUUGCUUGGUCCUAUCAAGACAUGUCUGGUUUGGAUUCUGAGAUUGUGGAGCAUAGAUUGACGUUGAAGCCAGAAUGCUCGUCGAUCAAGCAUAAGUUGAGGAGAACUCAUCCCGAUAUGGAAGUUAAGAUCAAAGAGGAAGUGCAGAAGCAUAUCGAUGCCAGUUUUCUUAUUACCUUUGAAUAUCCGCAAUGGGUGGACAAUAUUGUGCUUGUUCCUAAGAAAGAUGGAAAAGCCCGCAUGUGUGUUGAUUAUAGAUAUUUGAACAAAGCUGGUCCAAAAGAUGAUUUUCCUCUGCCACACAUUGACAUGUUGGUAGACAAUACAACAAAAUUAAAAGUCUUUUCGUUUAUGGACAAAAUUUCCGGUUAUAAUCAAAUCAAGAUGGCACCUAAAGAUAUGGAGAAGACCACAUUCAUUACACCCUGGGGAACAUUCUGUUAUAGAGUGAUGUCUUUCAGUUUAAAGAAUGUUGGUGCAACGUACCAGAGAGCUAUGACCACUCUUUUUCAUGAUAUGAUGCAUAAAGAGAUUGAAGUUUAUGUUGAUGAUAUGAUUGCCAAAUCAAGUGAUGAAGAAGAAAAUGUUGAGUAUUUGUUGAAGUUAUUCCAGCAUUUAAGGAAAUACAAACUCCACUUGAAUCCCAAUAAGUGUACUUUCGUUGUUCGUUCUGGUAAGUUGUUAGGCUUUAUCGUCACCGAGAAAGGUAUUGAAGUUGAUCCUACCAAGGGCAAAGCAAUACAAGAAAUGCCUGCGCCCAAAACUGAGAAGCAAGUAAGAGGUUUUCUCGGCCGCUUGAACUAUAUCUCAAGAUUUAUAUUGCAUAUGACUGUCACAUGUGUGCCUAUUUUCAAGCUUCUUUGGAAAGAUCAGUCUCGUGAUUGGACCGAAGAUUGCUAGAAAGCUUUUGAUAGUAUAAAAGAAUAUUUUCUUGAGCCUCCGAUUCUGUUUCAGCUUGUUGAAGGAAGACCUUUGAUCAUGUAUUUGACUGUGCUUGAUGAUAGUAGGGGUUGUGUUCUCGUUCAGCAAGAUGAAUCUGGGAAGACUCGGUAUUAUAUGCUUGAAAAGACAUGUUGCGCAUUGGCUUGGUCUUCUAAGCGUCUGUGCUAGUAUAUGUUGAAUCAUACUAGGUUGAUAUCUAAAAUGGAUCCAAUCAAGUACAUUUUUGAGAAACCUGCUUUAACUGGGAGGAUUUCCCAUUGGCAAAUAUUGUUAUCCGAGUAUGAUAUUGAAGACCGAUCUUAAAAAGCGAUUAAAGGUAGUGUCUUGGCUGACCAUUUGGCUCACCAAACGAUUGAAGGUUACUAGUCAGUGCAGUAUGAUUUUCCUGAUGAAGAGAUUUUGUACCUGAAAAUGAAAUAUUGUGAUGAACCAUUGCUUGAAUAAGGUCCAAAACCUGGUUCUCGUUGGGGCAUGGUAUUUAAUGGAGCUGUUAAUUCAUAUGGUAAUAGAAUUGGGGCAGUGAUUAUUACUCCUUAAGGCACUCAUUUUUCUUUUACAACUAGAUUAACUUUCAAGUGUACAAAUAAUAUGGCUGAGUAUGAAUCUUGCAUUAUGGGGCUUGAAGAGGCCAUUGAUCUCAGAAUAAAAUAUCUUGACGUCUAUGGAGAUUUAGCUUUGGUUGUGAAUCAGAUCAAAGGUGAAUGGGAGACGAAUCAACCCGGUUUGAUACCAUAUAGAUACUACGCGAGGAGAAUUUCAACUUUCUUUACAAAGGUUGAGUUUCAUCAUAUCCCUCGAGAUGAAAAUCAGAUGGUAGAUGCUCUUGCAACGUUGGCUUCCAUGAUUAUGGUGAAAUUUUGGAAUGAAGUUCCCAAUUUGACUGUGAUGCAUCUUGAUAGGCCAAGUCAUGUGUUUGUUGUUGAAGAAGUCAAAGAUGAAAAGUCAUGGUAUUACGAUAUCAAGUGUUUCCUCCAAAGUCAGAUUUACCCGCCCGGGGCAUCUUUGAAAGAUAAGAAGACUUUGAGGAGAUUAGCUGGAAACUUCUACCUGAAUGGCGAUGUGCUAUACAAGAGAAACUUCGAUAUGGUCUUGCUCAGAUGCGUGGAUAGACACGAAGCAGACUUAUUGAUGACUGAAGUCCAUGAAGGUUCCUUUGGUACUUAUUCCAAUAGACAUGCCAUGGCGAAGAAGAUGUUGAGAGCAGGUUACUAUUGGUUAACAAUGGAAUCUGACUGUUGCAAGUUUGUGAAAAAAUGCCACAAGUGUCAAGUUUAUGCAGAUAAAAUUCAUGUUCCUCCGACACUGUUGAGUGCCAUUUCCUCUCCACGACCCUUCUUCACGUGGGGAAUUGAUAUGAUUGGCAUGAUUGAGCCUAAAGCUUCGAAUGGGCAUUAUUUCAUUCUAGUGGCCGUCGAUUACUUCACAAAGUGGGUUGAAGCAACAUCGUAUGCGAAUGUGACCAAGCAAGUUGUUGUGAGGUUUAUCAAGAAUCAGAUUAUAUGUCGGUAUGGUGUGCCAAGUAAGAUCAUUACUGAUAAUGGAUCAAACUUGAACAAUAAUAUGGUGGAAGCUCUUUGUAAAGACUUGAAGAUUAUACAUCAUAAUUCUUCUCCCUACAGACUUAAGAUGAAUGGGGUUUUUAAAGCUGCAAAUAGGAAUAUCAAGAAGAUCAUCCAGAAGAUGGUUGUAACCUACAAAGAUUGGCAUGAGAUGCUCCCAUUUGCUUUGCAUGGGUACCAUACAUCCAUCCGCACUUCAACAUGGGCAACCCCCUUCUCUUUUGUUUAUGGCAUGGAAGUUGUUCUCCCAGUAGAGGUUGAGAUCCCAUCAUUGCGUGUCUUGAUGGAAGCCAAGUUGAUUGAAGCUGAAUGGUGCCGGAUUAGAUAUGAUUAGUUGAGUUUAAUUGAAGAGAAAAGAUUCACUACCAUAUGUCAUGGUCAGUUAUAUCAGCAGAGAAUGAAGAAGACAUUUGAUAAGAAGGUCAGGCCUCGUGUGUUUAGAGAAGGUGACCUUGUGCUCAAGAAGAUUAUAUCUUUUAAACCUGAUGCUAGAGGAAAAUGGACUCCUAAUUAUGAAGGCCCAUAUGUUGUUAAGAGAGCCUUCUCAGGCGGUGCUUUGAUUCUUACAACUAUGGAUGGUGAAGAGUUCAUUCGUCCUAUGAAUGUCGAUGUAGUCAAGAAAUACUUCGCCUAAAAAGAAAAAGAACAGCUUAGGCAAAAAAUGAGCGUCUCAGUGGAUUAAAAACUCGCAAGGGGGAUCCAGGCAAAAAUUAGAGACAUAAAACUGAAAUUUAUCCCUCUAGAUUUAGUACCCCACCUUGGGGAAAUCUAGGUAAAAAUUAGAGAUUAUGGCAAGUAACUGCAUUUGUUGGUCCUGAUCAUUGGAGCAGUUUUGAGCAAAUAAUUCUGUUCUGAUUCGUGAUUCUCAACCGAAGCCAAGAGCACAACGGAUAUUGAAGUUGGUAGGAAGAAUAGUGAUCAUUGUAUUCAAUUUAGCCCUUUACCAUGUAAAUUACCAUUUUCAACUUUUGUAAAGAUCUAUGGGGUCUUGUCAUUUACAGACUACCAUCCUAUUAAAUAAAGUUGAGCUUUUAUCCAAUUGUUUCUACUCUUAUUUAUUUCAGCUAAAUAAAAUUGAAUUUUUUAUGAUGAUAAUUUUGAAAUAAACUAAUAUAUAAAAAUCAUUUUUUCUUAAAUAAUAAAAGCAAUUACUUUAAAAACAAUUGAUUCGGUAAGGAAUAUCAACAUCAGUAUGAGAAUAGGUAAGUCUUGACGGUCUUCCUGAAGCAUUUGGUUUAUUGACAAUUCCCAACGAUUCAUCAUUUGUCCCCAGUAGAGUUGAACUGGUGGUCAGUCCCUUUUUGCAAGCCAUUUUUCCCAGCUGAGUUGUAGGCUCGCAUCCUCAGGAAUUUGCCUAGAUCCUCCGUGCAGAGUUUUAUCUCUUGUUCUCCCAACCGGAGUUCAUCCUCAAAUACAGCGGUGUUGAUUUUGAGCAGUAUUUGAUUUGGUCCCCUACGAGGUUGUCUCCCAUUUAAUAUGGUGUUGACCUAAAAUUCCCCGCAGAGUUGUCAAUUUAGAUCCUCAAUAGAUUUUUUCUCCUUCCCCAGCCAGGAUUGAGUUAUUAAGAGCCAGAUGAUUGGUGUUCAUCCCCAACAUCUUUUCUCCAGUUGGUGUUUCCGUCUUGUUAAGAUUAGCCGAUUGUUGCAGUGGUGAUUCAAAUCUGUGAUAUUUGUAUCCUUUGUGAUAGUUUUGUCAGCAUAAUCAUCAAACAUAUACAUAUUCAUGCAUAAAACACAACAUCAGAUAAUUCAUUAUGCAUCUUUAUUGCAUUUGAUUCCUUAUUUCUGAUCCCCUACUACGGUGAUAUUAUUUCCCUAUACAGGCUUGGUGCGUCUGUCCUCUCUCAAUAGUGGAGUGUCAGCCCAUUAAGUAGAAAGAAUUUAACCUUUCUCAUUUCCCCACUGAGUUAUUUCCUCGUGGAUGAUUAUUGUUUCAGUUUCCUCCCCAGUUAAUUAUCUGGAUGGAACCAUUCCCCUUGAGUUAUUUCCUCAUCGGAUCGAGUCUUUGUUUGACCGUUUCUUUCUAGUUACUACCUAAAUGGAUAUUUUGGUCCCCUGAGAGUCUAUUACCCAGUAACUGGUAAUAUUCUUCUCAAUUUUUGAGUACUUUACUUUUUCCUAAUACCCGGUAAAAGUAAUAUACUUCUUUUGUUAUCCCCAGCAGAUUCAUUUUGAUGUCUCCCCAGGCAGUCUAUCCUUGAUAUGUUCAUCCUAACCAAAGACGAAUAUUCUCCCUUUAUGGUUUUCUACCCUGUAAAAAGGUAGUUGUAGUCCCUAUUUCAUUCCCAGAGAGUUAAUCCUUGAUAUGUUCAUCCUAACCGAUGACAUAUUUUUUUCUCCCUUUGGUAUUCUAUUCAGUAAUCGGUAGAUAUAAAUCCUACUUCUCCCCUCAUAGUCAAUCCUUGAUAUGUUCAUCUUAACCGAUGACGGAAUUUCUCCCUUUUGCGGUCUUCUGCCCAAUAACAGGUAGUUGUAAAUCUUGUUUUCCCCUGCUGAGCUUAUCCUUGAUAUGUUCAUCAUAACCGGUGACAGAUAUUCUCCCUUUGGUAUUCUAUCCAGUAACUGAUAGAUAUAAUUCCUACUUUUUCCGCGACAGUCUAUCCUUGAAAUGUUCAUCCUUACCGAUGACGGAUAUUCUUCCUCUGAGUCUAUCCCUUAUUUGUUCACUUUAACCGGUGACGAAUAUUCCCUUUUUGGUCUUCUGCCCAAUAACCAAUAGUUGUAAAUCCUAUUUGAUAUUUUCCCGAGAAGGCUGUUCUUACCCAGUAACCGGUAACGAAAACACCUUUUUUUCCUUGGUGAGUCAUCCUUGAUAUGUUUACCCUAACCGGUAACGGAUGUCCCUCUGUCAGAGUACAUUAUCUUCUUACCCAGUAACCGAUAAUAGAUAAUAUAUUUCUGGUACUCCUGUGUUGAAGAUCAUUCUUCCCCACUUGAGUUUGAUUCAGGUAUUUUAGCUUUGUUCUGAUCUACCCAUUUCCCCCGCAGAGGUUUCCCUCUUCCCCAGACUGAGUCCUUCUGUUGAUUUAUUUUCAUGGAAAUUCCCCUCGUGUCUCCCGCAGUCUUUAAGUCGUAGCCUGGCCUAUGCACAACACUUUUACCCAGUGAGUUUUCCUUAUGGAAUGCAAUAUUCUCCUGUGGAUUUUCAGUCUCUCUGGAUUGUUUUCCUUUGUGGAAAUAUUUUCCCCAUAUAGAUUAUUUUUUACAUUUCAUAUCAUAUGCAUCAUGAGGUCUCUUAGGGACAAAAAUUUGUUUCUAUAUGUUGUUAUUGAAGUCCAUUCUACUGAGUUGAUACGAAGAUUUUAACCUUCACAUCCUCAUUUAGAAUGUCAUUAAAUAUGGGCAGCUGUAAGACCCCAAUUUUGACCCAUAGAUCGGCUCAUGCUAUCUCAUCAUAUGCAUUAGCAUUGAGAUCACACAUUGGCAUCCUCCUUACCCCUCAUUCACUGGUUUUGCAUUAGGAGAGGUCACCAAGCACAUUUGAUUGUAUCAUACUUUGAUUUUCAUUAUUUACUAACCAAAAUACCAAAAAUAUGUCCAUGUAUAGUUUGUUGCUUUUGUAGGUAGUGUGUGAGUUCACCCAUGCUCCAUCAAGCUCAUAUCUAGGGUUUAAAACCCUCAAUGCAAGAAGGCCAAUCAAUAGAUGGUUUACAUUUACUCUAGACAUCAUGUAUGGAUCCCCUUGAUCUUCAUUUAUCAUUUUGAUCAAGAAUUCAUCAAGAGUUUAAAGCUUGUUUGUCUUGGAAGCCCUAAUUAAUCUGGGUAUCUUGUGUGACUUACUCAACAAGUUUCUUCAACAUUUGAUUAAAUAUUUAAAGGGGUACUUCAUAUUACAUCAUCUUACACAUAUAUGAUCCUUCGUGAGUCUCAAAGAUCAAGAUAAUGUCAAGUUAGCAAGUUGGUUCAUGGUGGUUGACCAGAGAAGUCAAAUAGUCAAAACCGGGGUUCCCUAGACCCUAUCUCCUAUACUUUUUGUCAUAUGAAAAUUAUUCCAAGACUAAAGUUACUCAUAAUGACAUUCCAAACAACUUUCAUGUUUAAGUCAAGAGCUAGUGUUUCUUGUAAAGUCAUUUUUUAUGGUGAAAUAUUAUAGGUCAUUUUAUGUGAACCCUAGUUAGAAGGUCAACUUUCGAGGACCAUAACUUGCCUAAUGUUUAUGAGAUGAAAGCCAUUAAAGUUUCAUUAUCAAAUUAAAGAUUCCCUUUUCAACUUUUAUGUUUUGAAUAAGUUCAAAUUCAACUUGAAAAUGCAUGUGCCAAGAGGAAACAUUAUAGGUCAUUUUGGGCCAUUACCAUUGAACAAGUGAUUUUCCUCAACUUCUAAAAUGCAUAACGCCUUCAUGCCAAAUCCAAAUGAGGUUAAAUUUAUGACCAAAUUAAAUAGGUUUGAAAUAUAUGUAACUUUUAUGAAGUAAAGUUUUCCAUUGGAAGCACAUAGCAAAAGUUAUUCAAGGUGGAAGAAGUGAACAUUUGACUUGGUACUUAGAAAAUUUUCAAACAUGUUUGAUUUUCCAAACAUCCACCUCAAAAUUCAUCAUGAUCCAAGACUCAAAUGGAAAAGUGUUCAACAUGAAAGGUGUUCCCCUUUAUCUCACCUUCCUAAAAAGUCCAAGAUCACCUCAUUUGGACAAAUAAUGAAAGACUUGCACAUGGGUUCUUUUCAAGGGACCAAUUGGAUGUUUUUCACCUUCACAUUUCAAACUCAAAUGCAUGGCCACAUGACAUGAUUUCAGCAUGAUUCUCAAGCAAUUUUGGACCUGAAUACAUCACUUGAUGGGCCAAUUACACACCCAUGCAAGCAUGCGAUGAAAAUUGCUAAAUUUGGAAAAAUUUGAAAGUGUGUGGAAAUGAAUCACAUUGCUUAUAAAUGCAACCCCUCAUGCUCAGAAUUGGAGACCUCAUGCCCAAGCUUUGAACCUGCAAUCCAAACCCUCAACAUUAAAGGAUAAUCUUGAAGGUUUUCAUUUGAAAAUCGAGCUUCAAAUCUCAUUCUGUUUUGAGAUUGAAACUCCAAGAGUCUAAGUCAUUUUCUGAUCUUAAUCACUUCCUACAAACUUCUGAAACAAAGCCAAGCACAAUUGGGGUCAAGAUCAAGCAAGGUUGAAGUUCCCUCGAAGGUAAUUUUUCAGAAUUUUCAUCUCUUCGAUUCUCCCUCAAUUCUUCACUAUUCUAUGUGAUUUUUGGUUGGAUGAAGUCCUACCAAUGUAGGCAAGAAGACUGAAUUGCUUUGAGGUCAAAUCGAAGCAACUCAGUUCAUGAUCCUCAAAAUUCAAAUCCAUGGAUCUUUUUAUAUACUUGGAAUUGGAGAAAAUUGAGGCCAGAUUCGAGCUACUGAGUAUUCUCUAUUCAAAAUAGUGUCCUUGUUUUUCAUUUUUCAUGAAGUUGAGGUUGGACCAGUCCGGUGGUCAUCAUCGGAGAAGAUGAGCGAAGCCAGGGCUCCAGUGGUGAGUUGGCUUCAUCUCAUCCAUCUGAUCUUGGUCCAAGGAUCUAAUCUUAGCCUUUGGUUUGAAUUACCACUUGUACAUGCGCGUUGACCGUGGACUAUGGUGGAUGAUACGCGCUUGGUCAUUAGAUCUGCCACCUUAAUUAAUGAGAGAAAUCUGAUGGCCCUCGUUUUUUCCAAUUUCCUUUUAAUUUCUGAAUUUAUGUUUAAUUGCUUUAUUUUGUUUAAUUCAUAAUAAUUUCAUUUUUAAUCCAAAAAAUAUGGGACUUUCACCAAAAAUCUUUAAAUAUUUUCCUCUUUCAUUUUUUGAAUUAAAAUCAUUUUUGGAUUAAUUUUGAUAUUUUUCAUGAAUUAAAUGUUUUCUUGCAUAUUUUUAAUUGUUUAAAAAUACUUCUGACUUUUCAAAAAUGAGAUUUUUUUUAUCUAAGGUCCUUUGACCUUGGUUGACCUAGGAUAAAUCUCUUUGCCAUUUAUUUGGUGUUUUGAAGAGAUGUUAGGUUUUGGUCAAAUUAAAUUGAAUUUUCAUGCUUUUUUAAUUUAAUUUUUAAUCGAUUAAUUGUGUAAAAAUUAUGUUGAGCCAUUUUUAUGGUCUUGUGAUGUUUGACUAUUUGUUUGAGCCUUGGUCAAGGUUGAUUUGACUUUUGUUGGAUUAAAAUCAUUGGAUUUAGGGGUUUGAUGAAAUGUACAUUUCAUCUCCCAAAAUGAAUGAAUGGUUUUAAUUUGAUAAAAUACCUCCCAUGACCAAUUUGUGUUUAGGAUUAGUCUCUUAACUUUGUGGUCAGAUCUUUUCAACUCUUAACUUUUAAAGUUAUGCUUAGGGUUAGUCUCUUCAUCUCCUCCCACUUCUUAAAUUUCAAAAUCUCUCCCUCUUUUCAAAAGUUAUGCUUGUGAUUUCAAACUUAGACCUUAUUUCAAAUAGAAACUUUGGUCUUAUGUCAUUGAAUUUUUGAACUUCUUUUUCAUAAAUCAAACUUGUAAAUAAAUCUAAUCAUAUUGACUAAGAAAUUUCAAAAGGCAAAAAGAACUAACAACCCCAUUCAAACCUUUGGCUCCUUCGUGCCCUUCUCAGUUAAAUUUUUGUUAAAAGCAAUUCACCAACUUUGAAAUUUUCACCACGAACUACGAGGUUUUGAUCCCUCAUUUUUAUGUUGGUACGUAGGCACAAGUACGAAGGUUUUGUCAAACACAAAAAUAUAAUAAAUGAAUUCUUUUCUCAUCCCCACACUCUAUUUUUUCCAAACAUCAUUUUAUACCAAAAACACAUACACACAUAAAAAAGGGCUCCCUAUGAGUACCUAGGACACUUUGGGUACUAACACUUUCCCUCUGUGUAACCAACCCUCUUACCUGUAAUCUCUGACAUUUUAUUAGUUUUGAUUUAAAAACCUCUUAUCUUUGGGUUUUGUUCGUACUUUUCCCUUUUCCUUUGGAAACAAUAAAAGCGCGGUGGCGACUCUGAUUUUAUUGACGUUAAACUUAUCCAUAGAUUGAUGGUCAUGAAUUUACCGCUACAAGACCUUUUACACAUGUCAAUCUUAAGAACAUACAACCAAGCUUUUAUCAAGUUUAGGUUGCAAUCUUUAAGUCCUAUACAAAUACAAUUUGAAACAUAAUCACACUCAUGAAUACAUCAAAUAAAGCACAACACCAAUUAUAACAUAGCUCUCACAAGGACUUUUCAAUCUUUUGUCACUAUGUAAAUUUUUAUGAUAAAACAUAUUUUAGAAUAAAGAGAGUAGAAUAAGUGUGAUUUCCAUGCUAAAUUUGGUGUAAAAUGAAAUAAGAUGAAGUCUCCUUUAUAUAGGAAGAUUUUUGGCUAAAAAGGGAACUGAUCCUUAGGGCAUUUUAAUUUUUUAAUCUUAUAACCCAAGUUGGUAAUCGAUUAAAUAUUUUCAAAAUACCGCAACCCAAAUCAAAAAAGGAAAACCAAAAUACCUACAUGGUUUAAUCAAUAAAAGCAUUUCUAGCUGAUUGAGAAGUCAUUUACCUUCCUCUAAUUGAUUAAACCCAACGGUUAUUCGAUUAAGCAAUGUAAAACUUUCAUAAAUGAUUAGAAUCCUUGAUAGGUUUUUAAAAAGUCAUGCUCACCAUAGACACUUUUUUCUAAGACACAAUUUUCUUGGAUACUAGAAUUCCUUAAACCCACAACCUUUUGAUGGUGUGUUAUUUCUGAAAAUAGACAUAACUUUUGAAGUUCUUUUGGUCCUGAUAACAUCUUUGGGCCAAUUUUAUUUAUAUACUUCCCCUUUAAGUCUCUGACCCAUUUUCUUUUGGGCACACACUUAAACACAUACUAAGUGGUAAAAAAUAGUUUUAUUUAUUAAAAUGAUAAUUUAGAACUUGUUAGAAGAAUAAUGAAAGUUUUUCGAGUUCAUUCUCUACCAAUUGGUUAUUUCUAGAACCACAAUUAAUUUUCUUUCUUCUAAACCUCAAUACAUAUUUUUAUUUGAGAUACAAUCAUAGAAUAUCUUUCUUAGGGAAAUUUUUUCUAAAAUAUAAUUCUUCAAACAUGAAAUCAUCUCUCCUUAGAAAAUAUUUAGAUAACUUUUUUUGAUUUUACAAUUUUCCUUUGAUGGUGCAAAGAAUUCCUACUUCAUCUUUGUUUAUGUAUAGAUUUAUAUUUCUUUUCACAUUCCUUAGGUUAAUCUAUUUAUUAAAAUAUUCCUCUGAUUGACAAAAUUGUAAAUCAAAGAAAUAUCAAAGCUCCCACGUCAUAGACAUUGUGCAUCAUAUUAGAAAAAUUCCCUGCACAAGAAUUCUUUAGUACCACCCAAAAUAAUAUUAAUGUAUUCGCAUAAGUAAAAUCUCAUGCUCAUUUUUUUUAACUAAAAUUUGUAUCAAACAACUCUCUUUGAAAUUUGUUUUCAGGCUAAAACUUGCUCAGACGAUCAUGCCAAGCUUUAGGGGCUUAAACCAUAGACACACUUUUUUUCCAGCUUGAAGACAUGAUUAGGUAAAAAGAAGUUUUUUGAAACCCUAUAGGUUGAUCAACAUACACUUUCUCUUGGUUAUAAUCGUUCAAGAGAAUACUAUUUAAAUACAUUUGGAAGAGUUUUGAAAUUAAAAAUGCAUUCGAAAGCUAAAAUCAUCCUUAUGAGUUAUAAUAUAGCUACAAUGACAUAGAUCUCAUCGAAAUCUAGGCUUCUCUUUAUUGUAUCCUUUUUUUGAUAAAGCCCAAAUUGAACUAAACCAAGAAACAACAUGUUGGAUUGAUCGGGUGCAUUAAAAAAUGUUCAAUUUUUUUUUGAAAAACAACAUAUGUACACCAACUAACAAGAAAACAUUUAACACAUUAUCUUUUUGUGUAUGAAAAUAGUCACAUAGGACAAUGUCAUAAUAAAGGUGGUUCUUAGUACAAUAUACUUAUAAUUUUCCAAAUAUAGAUUAAAAUCAAAUUAAAAUAUCACAAUUUGUCCAUAAAUCCUUCAAAUUAAUUUAGAUAUAAAAAUACCUCAUUUUUUCUCUCCAUAGAAGUCGUGAUUGGCAUAAACGACGCUUCCUUUUUAUCUUCUUGAAGUUGAAUGCUUGGUGCUUGUUUCCAUGAUAGUGAUGAUAUGAGUUAUGCGAAUUAAUUAUAGUACAUUCAGGUAGACGGGCUUGCAGAUAUAAUAUUAGAAACUCGUUGCUCGGACCAAUAAAUAUCAGACUUCAGUAGCUUCUUUGGUUUUUACCCGAAAUUGAAAAAAAUCCCAACCCAAACCUCAUGAUUUGGUUCAGAUUUAGAUUUGAAUUGGAUUUUCCCACACAACUAAACACCUCUUCUUCUCACUCAUACAAAUGAAAUUAUCUUCUACACUAUAGUCAACAAGUUUGACUACAUGAUCAUUUGUAUUCGUCUAGGAGGACAUGGUAAUUGCCGUACCCCAAAUUUUGACUAUUUUUCUUUUAACCUCCUAAUCUAGGUUACUAACGUGGCCAUAGUCCAUGUGAGGCAUCUGAUCAACCCCAAUGACCUAAAAAAAAGUCAAAAGGGAAACCAAUUUGACUUUUUCAAUUUUUUGAUCUCAUCUUGAUUAAACUAAUAACUAAUUAGGAUAUUUAACUAGAGGUUAUAAUUAAUCAUUUAGGUGUUUCUAAUUUAAGGUUAAGUUAACAUAGUUAGAUUAAUGUUAUUAAUUAAUUAAAACUAAUUAAGUUUUAUUAGAAAGUUUUAUUAAUGUUUUUUUUUCCGGAUUUAUUAGUUUAGGUUUUUUUAGUUUUGGUUUUAAUUAGGUUAAUGGGAAGACUGAACCAGGUCAAGCCCAAUCCAUUUGGUUCAAGAGAUGAACCCAAGUCCAUGAACCAGCUGGGUCAUAUGACCCAAGUCCGUUAUCCCACCGGGUCACACCCAUGACUCAGGUUACCCAUAAAUCCCCAAUCCUCGUUGUUGUUCAGAAACCCUAAACCUGCGAAAUUAUUGGAAUCAAAUGAAACUUGAUCAAAACUUUCCUAAAUAAUCCAUAGAUUCAUUAUACAACACAAAUUACAAGCAAAUUAGUCCAAGUACAUCAAAUUCGAAAACCUAAAAAAACUAGAAAUCUAAUCAAAUCAAUUACAAUCAUAAUCAAAUUACAAGUUUCCUAAAAGAUACAAUCAUAAUUAAAUCCUAAACCUAAUUUUAAUCUAUAAAAAGACUAAGAAUAAUCAGAAUUAGGGGGACGAAAAAAAUAAGAACCCUAAGCAUUAUUGCCCUAUGCAAUUCCCAGCCUUUCAUCAAAGCUCCGACUAAGCAGUAAUUAGGAUUUCAUAUCGAAACCCUAAUUCCUAUGAGCUAAACCACAUUCACGAGUCCAUGACCUCGCACAGAAAGAAAAGAAGAAGUUAGGAGCAAAAGAAAAGAAAAACCAGAUAAAGCAGAAGAGAAUUAGAAAUCGGAAUUUUUACCUUUAAGACCAGAGAACACCUCUUCUCCAUAUGUUGGUUGAAUUCUAUAAUCUAUCUUAUUAUUUAUUUAUGAUAUUAUUGUUGUUUUGGUUUGAUGAUUUGGGUUAAGGGAUUAAGGGUUUACGAUUUUUCCAUCUGGUUUGUGAGUUUGGAUGUCUGGUUGAGGUAAAGGGGAUCAGGAUCUGUGAUUUAGUGAAGGUUUGGGUUUAUUCUGGGUAGGGUUAGGUUUGAUUUGGGUUAGGUUUAGGUUUGGCUGAAGGAAGAAGAUGAAUAUUCAUCUUCUUCAAGGUUAGGGUUCAUCUGGGUACGUUAAAGAGGGUUAAGGUUCUUGAAGCUGAGGGUUAGGGUUUGUUAAUUUGGGGUUAUGGUUCAUAGAAUUAAGGGUUAUGGGAAGGUGUUCAUCACCCAGAUGAACACCAGUUAAAGAUCCCAAUGAGCUUUACAAGGUGUGUGUGGGCUUUGUAGGGUGGUCGGAGUUAAGGCUUCAGAAGAGAUUUAGAGGGAGAGAGCAGAGAACAAAGAGAUGAAGAGAGAAAAAGGAUUUUGAGGAAUUUU